rnacentral:misc_RNA from 1 species
GAUGAAGAACGUAGCGAAAUGCGAUAAGUAGUGUGAAUUGCAGAAUUCAGUGAAUCAUCGAAUCUCUGAACGCACAUUGCGCCCUUUGGUAUUCCUUAGGGCAUGCCUGUUCGAGCGUCAUUUCAACCCUCAAGCCCUGCUUGGUGUUGGGCGUUUGUCCUGCCUCCGCGCGGGACUCGCCUCAAAGACAUUGGCGGCCGGUUUCCCUUUGCAGGCCACGAGCGCAGCACAGCGAGCGCUCUACGUGGACGCGGGGUCGGCGCACCAGAAGCCCUCUUUCUCGAAUUUUGACCUCGGAUCAGGUAGGGAUACCCGCUGAACUUAAGCAUAUCAAUAAGCGGAGGA